GCCCCCGUGGAGAAACCGGCAUACUCGCGCCACUCAAAAUGGCGUGCCCGAGAGGGCGUGUGGGUUCGAAUCCCACCGGGGGUA
rnacentral:tRNA from 1 species